GGGGCGGGGUCGGGCGGCGGAGCUGCGGCGGCUGCAGCUGCCGGGCCGGCAAGUGCGGGCUCGUCGACGUUCCCCGCCCAGCGCGGCGGCUCCAGGCGCGUCCCUGCGAGCGGCCUGCCCCGAGGCCUGCCCUUGGCUCGCGGCGCCUCUGAGGGCGGCGGGAACCGCCUCGGCUUCUCUGAGGAGGUCGUGUGGCGCGCGCGGCCGAGCGCCCAUCUGAGGGACGGCGCCGAGCGGCGGGAACGGGGCUGCGCGCCGCUGUCACUGCUCGUCUCCACAGCCUGGUGCCAGCUCCGUCCAGGGCCGCAUUGGUGGAAAAAUGUGUAUUUUUCACGAAACAUCAGAUGUAUAAAUGCUGUAUAUGAGAUACAGAGAUGCAUUUUCAUAUGUUUUGACAUUCGGUUAAAUUUAAUGCAUCUUUGUAAUUCUCAGAAGACAGCCGCUAAGAGUGAUGUGAACGCUGAACAUGUUUUCUGUGUUCAGACACUGAAGGGAGAUGACAUUCAGCAAACCGUGUUACAGUGCCAGUGCUCCGCAUGGACAAAACUCCGGAAUGCGCAGAGGUGUCCUGCAGUCGGGCCCGUGAGAAGCAAUUUGGGCACGGUGCCACCUGGCUGAGCAGCAGUGACUCCGCAGCAGACGAGCCAGGACUGGAAGCUGCCGGCUCCUUCUGCAGCACCCAGGUCCCAACUGCACAUCCUGGGAAGCUGGCUGGGUUCUCUAGCUAAAACACUGACCCCUUCCUCCUGCUGCAAAGGCUAUCGCUUCUUGCUUGAUUACAUCCAGAGGCAAAAGAUUAAUAGAAGAUGUCAUUAUAGAAAUGGAACUGUUUUCUAAUAGAAGUGAGGAGAAUAGCAACAGUAGAAAGUGAGGAAAGGGAUGUCAUGUCCCAUUUCUGCACAACUCCUUGCUCUGCAGUCCAGCACAACACACAUAGAAAGAACUAACUGGACUACAGGGUUGUAUCAGUUGACUUGAAAUUGUGAAACUCACCUCUGAAGAGAACAGGAUAACCAUAUAGACUGCAAGAAGGCUUGACUUCCUUCAAAAGACUUCCCUUCAGCUGAGGUUCAUCUGGAUGUUCACCAUCAUCUCCAAAGCAAACAAAUGAUCUCGUCUGAAUGGGAACCUGACUUGGGGAAAAUCUUCUCAAGCGAGGAAGACUAUCCACAGACCUUGGGGCAGUCAAGGUACGAUUUAGAGGUGUUAUUUUCAAUUCAUUUGGCCUGGGAGUCCUUUGCAUUUUUAUGUGAAAAGAUGCAUUCUUCCUGUUGGAUGACUGUGGAGAUUGAUGUGUGGAGCGAGGAGAUUCCUGUGAGAAAGGUGCGAUGGGAGACGGAGCUCCCAUUUGCCUCGAUGAAGCCUUAAACUCCCGAAGUUGCUUCUGAGGAGAAGGCUGAGGAGGAGAAAUAACCCAAGCUUGCUGCUCUCUCAUCUGCAUCAACAUCUCCUGUUGAAGGGACAGACGUUGCAUUUCUUGUUGUAGAAAGUGUAAGGAAGAAUUUAGUUUUUCAAUAGAUUUGGUAUAUUCCAAGAUAUCUCCUUCAUUGAAAUUUUCUUCGGAGGGGCUAGCUAAAUUCCACUGCUUUUCAGCAUCCAUAGGAGUAGCAGGAGACUUUGACCAUUUGUUGUGAGCAUUUUCAGGGUUUUCUUUUAUUGAUUCUGAAGCCUUAUUAGUUUGUUCAUCUGUUUUUUGAGUUUCUCUUUCUUUCAGUCUAUUACUGUCCGUGAAUAUCUUCUCAUCUUCAGCUCCUGCUGCUUCUUCUCGGAGAGGUGAUACUCCAUCGCCUUUCUUUUUCACAAUAUUAAGAAAUGCUGUUCUUCCCAUUUUCUGCCGCUGCUUAGUGAAAGCAGCUUCAACUUUCUUCUUCUGGGCUUCAAUUGCUCGUCUCUUUUCCUCCAGCUUCAUCCUAAGAUGUACCAGCUCUGAAGCCAGUAGCUGCGUAGUGUCUCUUCCUUGGGGAACAGAUGUCUCCUCAGGAAUAUGAGUCCAAGCAACCACAUGAGGAAUAUUCAGCUCAGAACCUUCCGGUGUGGUUUUCUGAGAACUGCUGCCACUGCUUCUACUAUCUGUAUGAUUCAACUUUCUGAAUUUCUGCUCUGCAAAACUAGUCAUUUUAACCCCAGAACUUGAAGAAGCACUGCUGCCAGCCUGUGACUUGGUACUUACUGAGCUAGGACAGGGACUUAAUUGAUCUCUGUGAUUGCUAACUCUUAUGUCAUAAUCCUGAAGAAAUUUAGAUGGUUCUUCCAUGUCAGAGUCCAUGCUUACAGUAUAAUCUCUUAAAGAAGAAUCCUCAUCCAUAGUCUCCGGAAUAUCUUCCGAAGGAACGUGUAUUCCAGUGUCGACUUCUGUGUUGUCAGUCACAGGACUUAAAGCACCUUUUGUGUCUGUGAUCAGAUCAGGGGUAGACUGAUUUGGUUUUAUGUUUGAAUUCAAGAUGCUCAUUUCCUGAUUGUGAAGAAAGAACCCAUUUGUAAUUUGGUCUGUUGGGAUAACUCUGGGAGAUUUUUCGGUGUCAUGAAUUAUUUGCAAAGCCUCUUCAAUUGUUGGUGUCUCAAUCUGAUUGCCAAAAUCAUCCAGAACGGCUCUGUUUUGCAAAGCCCCGUUUGGAAACCGGCAGUGACUGCUCUCGUUGGCAUUUCUUUGAUUUGUGGUAAAAGAACGACGGACCUUUGUGUCUGUAUGAGCUACUGUGUCCUUUUCCUCUUCAAUAUCUUCAUUUUCCUCUUCUCCAUUUACUGGUCUGAAGGACAGAUUUUUUCUAAUAUGUUUGGGCACACGGUUGUUGUUUAACGUAAGGCCUUCAUUGCUUACAGAUCUAGUAAUACCUCUGUUUGGAGAAGAUACUGGAAUACUUUUUUCUUUGUCAAAAGAAAUGUCAAAUGAAACUCCAUGUAACGAUGACCUUACAGAGAAAAAAAGGAAAUAACUGAGCAACUUAUGAUUAAUAACAAAAUAUUCAUAUUUGUUCUACAAGUUAUCUGGAGACAGUAGUAUAAAAUGGACUAUUACAUGUACUGUAUUUCGACCAGCUUCAUUUCCAAAUAGGAUACAUUAAAAAUGCACAACAUACAAUAUAAUAACACUUUCUUUAGAGCCAACCAAUGCUCUUUAGUAGCUUGGAGUAAGUUUGAGGCACUUCAAGAAUAUAAAAAUUGCCAGUCUAGAUCAGAAUCAAGGUGUGAAAAGACAACUCAGACUUGCAGAAUAACCCUUUAAUAUAACUCUUAACCAUUUUAUCUUUACCUUACGACCUUACGUCCUAUACAUUCAGAGUUUGAGUAGUCUAACAGAAAAAGGAGACAUCUCCAGCCUGAUCGUUUUUACUAUAUAGAAAUUAAUACUAUUUUUGAUACUAGGUUUUGAUAAUACUGAACUCAUUAGCAAUGUGACUCAACUCAUUUGGCUAAAUUGUAGUAGGUAAAUGUAAACAUAUUUAAUGCUAAUAUAUUGAAAAAAUGUUAUUUCUUAAGGUUGUUUCCUAUUACUGAGUUCUUAAUCCAUGACACAGUUUUCUCUUUGCCUUCUACUUUUGUAAACUAAUCACCAGAUUUUGAAAAUCCCAAUCACAAUGGAAAAUUUACAAUACACAAUCAUUUUUUAAUCAACUUAUGGUAAAGACUACUUACCUCUUUUCUUUUGGCCAUGUCCCUACAUAGCCAUCUACGUAAGACAUUGAUGUGGACCUUCUGAUGACUCCUAAGCAAAAUUAACAUGGAAUCCAAGGUAACAUUAAGAUGAUUUUUCAUAGCAGUAAGUUUCUGUUGCUUUAACAAAUUAGUUUGUUUCACUACUUAGAACACCGCAACAGCAGAAAUUUGUUUUCAGAACACAACUUGAACAAUUGAGUUCACCUCAUCCUGUAUAUAUAUGCUAUACUCCUUAGACAAAGAACUUAUUAUUGAGAAAAAAACAGAAUUACAGAAGCAUUUGAGUCAGAAGGGACAUGAAAAGGUCACCUAGUCCAACUCUCCUGCAACAAACAGGGACAUCUACAGCUCCAUCAGGUCACAGGAGUCUGGUCUAGUCUGACCUUGAAUGUCUCCAGGAGCGUGGCAUCCACCACACCUUUUCUGGGCAUCUGCAUCAUCACAAGACCAUAGAAGGCUGGGCAGGCAGGGCUUGUCCUUGGUGAAACUAGCAGUACUACAAGUACUGCUAAAAUAUACUAAAAAUAAUUGUUGUAAGCCAUAUUUAACGUGGCAAAAAAUGAACUCAAAUUAAAAAAAAAAUGCAAGUGGUACAAGCACAAACUUCCUCAUUUGUAUACUGAACAAAUUACAGAACUCAUUCACUAGCCUUUCAUCUAGGACUCUCCCAGCAACACCUGGCAUGAAUAAGCUUUGAAGAAAUUUAAGUAAGGUAGCAAUUUACUCAGAAUGACACCUUGUCUCAUCCCCCCUUAAAUCCUUUUGUAAAAUGUUACCUGGGACAGACGAAUAAGGCUGCUGGGGCGUAUGCAGUUGGUGAGAUGGUGCAUAACUUGGACUUUCCAAUCUAUAAAACAAGAUACAUUAACUUAGAAGUAACACAUCAAAAGCCACAUUAUAGAAGUACAGCAAGACUUCAUGUCCUGUGCCAACUCAAGAUUUAUUUUUUUCAGACAAGGGAAAAAGGUGUAAUUCUCCUCUUGAAGCACUAAUUAGAGGCAGCAUGCUGUAUUACUACCUUUAACUGGACUCAGUGCAGAUAGACAAAAUCAAAAAGCUAUUUCUCUUAUUGAAAUGGCCACAGAGCAGUGCUGGUUUUGUUAGUGUACACAUCUCCUAACAAUAAUUCAAGUAAAUGUCAUUGUUAGGAAGUUCUCAUUUUUAGGCUUGAUUUUAGCAACAAAAUAAAUUGGGUGUUGCAGCUAAUACCACAGUCUUCACACAACUUUCUGUUGCUUCAUCUGACAUUCUUGUGUUUCAACUGCAGUAUGUGUGAGGAGCAGAUAAAGGCGAUUCUGUGACAGAUAUGCUAAGUACAAUAAUAACACUGAUCACUACAAGAGUAGUUCAAAGGUUCUCUCCAUUUCUAGUUAGAACAGAUUUCUUUUUUUUGUUCACCAAGAAGGUUCGUAAUAGACUAGCUGUUUUAAUCCAGAAUAGGCUUUCAUAAUGCAGUGAUUUGAACCAGGCUCUUCUUCAGUACCAAACAGACAUGCAUGAAUACAUAUGCUUUUGUAUGUAAAAUGUGUCAAGAAGGCAGACUUCAAAACAUGCUGGAUUAAAGCCUUUCAUGCUCUGAAUUUUGUUCACUGAUUAACAGCACACUCCCAAACUCUUUUUUCAGUAAUUAACUUUCAAGAUCUUUGCCCAGUACUUUUGUAGUUUACAUACAGUAUUGCUUUAGAAAUGUUUCCAAAGAAUAUUUGUGGGGAGGAUAUUCAUGUCAAUUUAAAGAAAAUAUUGUUAGUUUAUAGUACACAAAACCAUCUUCUCUCAGUAUACAUUAAAACUACUCAGAAGAGUUUCUCAUUAAUGCAAGGUUUUGGGUGUUAAUACUGCACAAAAGCUAAACAUAUGUUUUAAAUGGCAUUUGAGAUUUCCGUGAAAGUUUUUUAAUCAAUAUCCUUAAGUUAUCUUAAUACACGUAAGCAGUUAAUCCAGCAGCAUCUGAAAAUUUGUUUUACCACAAGAAAAUCUACAUGCCUCAUUUUCUCCCAGGAAAAGACUGAUUUUGGCACCAAGACCGUGGUUCCAUGGCAACUCAGACAUUGUAACUGCUUGCUGCCUCAGUCCCACUCCUCUGUGCUGCUCUGGUUCUCCACUGGAGUCUGCUCUGAGUCAUUGCUGUAAUUCAGCCAGCAGAGAAACAUUGACUUUCUCUGACUGGGUUACUUUUUUUCCCCUGUCAUUGUGUACUGAAGUGACUACAUCAUACAGAAAAACAGACAGCAGUGUCCAGUUGGAACUAGAAUGAAAGCCAGGACCAAGGCAUCCUGCAGUCAGAGCCAUCUUGACUGAUGGCAAACAGCAGCCUACACAUUAUAUUUCUAGCAUCUCAAGUAACUCCUCAGGCCUCUUCUUCAUCUCUCAAUGCUGUGAAGUACCACCAAGUUCUAUAAAGUACAUCAGUCUAUGAAUAAAGAUAUAGUUCUUUCUACUACUUACAGGUGCUCUCGUAAUACUCCAGCACCGAACCACCUCCAUCACUUUUAGAGAAACUAAACAAGUGUUGCAAUUAGAUUGCAGAAUAUGCUAUCCACUACCAACCAUACAGACUUCACAGUGAUUUUAACUGAACAUGUCUGGGAAAAAUAAGCAGUGUUAUGAAACAGUGGUGGCAACUUAGACUUGAUAGUUAAAUUUGGAAUGGUAGCAGUUUGUUUAUGAAUUGAAUUCAGACACUUAAAGCUUUCAAUAAAUCCUCUUCAAUUUCUAAUUCAAAAUAUCAGCACAGACAAAAUGUACACAUUGAGACAAAAUGCACUUGUUUUUUUUUAGAUGAAAAAGAUGCUUUGUUACUGAUAGAAUUUGUCAGAGCAGGGAUAUGUUCUGUAGAGAGAAAGGAUAAAAUAAAGAGCUAAGUAGUUCACUGGACUGCUUGCAGUAGCUGUGCAUGGUGUGAACUGGCCUUGGGAACCUCUGUUCCCAAAAGUAUACAGAAAGCUACUGUUUGUUUCUCUCCUGGCAUAGAAGCUUCAUUUACACUAAAAUAACUUCAUUGUCUAUACAGGAAACACACAAGAUACACACAGUAGAACAACUCAGAAUCGUGCCAUUUUAUGAUUGUAAGAAAUUGUAUUCCCUAAUUCAAAGGCAGUAUAGAUACCUAAAUAAAAAGCAACCACCAACAAGAGCUGGCAAGGAAGAAUUCACUGAAUAUUCCAUUAAAAUGUUUAUUUUGUCCUUUGUGUUGGUUUAGAAGCUAUCAAACCUUUGCCCUCUAUUUAUAAAUAUAAUGCAACACUACCUCCCACAUUCACUAGGUUCAGAUCAGAUCAUUUAAAGGCUUCCUCUACCCUGUCAAGAGAAUGAUUUAAAGACUGUGAAAGGGUACUACUGACUCUCUGGCUUUACCUGGCUACGAAGUCAGAACCACAUGGGCCAUCCACAUAAUUUCUUCUGUUAGCAUUCAAACUGUGAGCAGAAGCUGCAUCUUUUACAGGUUCAGCUGCCAAGAAGAACAAAGGUCAAGUUACCGUAGUUUAGUUAAAUGAAAGUUUAAAUUACCAUGACCUCUAUGUUUACUAUCUCAAGAUCUACUUGAGAACUGCGUUUUUACAUCUAUAAAUUUACCAACAAAGGACUGUGCCUUGCAUCCAGGUGCAAAAUGCAAGUCUGAAGUUAACUACUUAUCUGCUUUCCCCAGAUGUAUGUUUCUUUCUAUUAGUAACUCUUCCUCAGCCAUACAAUAUUUCAGGCUACAUUCUGAUCUUGGCUCCUUUUUCUGAAUUAUCAUCUCUGCAAGGGCAUAAUGGAUUCUAGCCAUAUUUAGGUCAGGAAAAUUUGCAGAAGAUUAUACCGCUAUAAUUUAAAUGAGGCUUUUGCAGUAAACAACAAAUCUAAUUAUGAUUUAUGAGAUGAAAUGAAGAUUAGCAUGAGGAAAGAGUACUUCGCUUCUUUAAGGGGGUGGUACAACACCAAAUCCUGUUAACUAAGAUAUUCGCGCAUUUGGGGACGCUACAGUAAUCUGAACUCAUACAUAUUAAAAACAUGCAUAUCAAAACCAAUCCCUUAUAUAAUUACCUUGGGGAUGCCCAACAACACGAGGUUGUACAAAUGAUGGUUUCACCACUUCAAACCACCAGAACAGUUCUGCCAUGAACACCAUGUAGUUACUCUACAGGAAAAAGAAUGCAAGAAAUGUAUGUUAAAACACAACCCUUAACUGCAAGCAAAGAGAAUAAACAGUGUUUAGAAUAUCUCUGUUCCAUCCAGUUUACAUUCACAUAGCUAUCACUUUCUUAAAAAACACAGUGAGUAAUGGUGACCUGUAGUACCAUCUAUCUAACAACCCUAACUCGACCAGAUCAGAACCGUUUGGGUAUCUAUGACUGUAAGGUCUGUAAGCUUUCUGCUGCCAAUCCCCCAGCUAGCAGCUAUGUUCUAAAGCAGAAAGAAACCAAGUUUUGGACUGCAAGUGAACACCUGACAAACACACUAAAUGGAAUGUCAAUUUAUUACAGAAAAAAAUUACACACGUUAGGCAUAAGAAUAUCUUUAUCAAAUAAGCUAAGAUUUAAAAAAGAAAUGUUUAAUAAUAAAUGAAAUGAUCUCAACUCUGUAUCACUGAGUUACAAAACGUAAUUUAAAAUAUCUGACAACUUAGAUUCAGAUUUAUUUUUCCUGGACAUUUCUAAUGCAGAUAAGCCUCCACUUCAGAGGAGGGAUGCUCUCAGAAUGAAAGCUGCUCAUGUAGUUUAGUAGACAGUGAAGGGAUCAGCCAGAUGUUGCCACAGUUAUUAAAGACAGGCUAUGAAUAGACCAGGAAAAACACUGCAUCGGAUUGUUCAGCACAAUAGAAAUGGAAUGAGAAAAGAUGCAUAGCAAAACCUUUUAUGUGCAAGCUAAAUGCUAACUGUAGCAUUCUGAUACAACCAGAAAAGAAUAUACAAACGGAAAAAUGAUAUCUACUUUUCAGACAAAACGUCUGCAGUGUUACAGUUUCUAUGCCAUCCAUUAAUACCUUCAGCCUUCCUUCCCCUCAAACUUGUCCAGUUUUAACUUGAAAUAACUCUUACUCUGAAAAUAAUUAUAAAAUGUUCUAAUCAUAGCUUUGUUCCCAUCUCAAGUAGUAUUCUAUUCCAAUAGGUUAAUUCUUAUUUUUAUGUAGAGAUGCUGCACUGAAUAGCACAGCUGUUCUAUGAAGGACUCAGUUAUUUCUUCUGAAAGUAUUUUCUAUGCAGUCCUGAGUUGCUGAAAUAAAGCUUGUUUUCCCAUAACCCAAAGUGGUACUUCCCAAAGCAAAGUGAAAGUGUUGGCUGCACAGCUCAAUUACAACUCAGGCUACAUUCAUGUUUUGUGAUGAAGUAUCAUGAUGGAAAACACAUUUCCCCUCAUGUUAUUUGUAGUCAGAAAACUACAUUAAUCAUUAUCCAAGGGGAAGACAGAUGAUCAAUAGCUUAAUUUGGUUGGGUUUUUUUUUUUUUUUGAGAAACUAAUUGUGGGCCUGUAAUGACCCUGCUUGCCAGUGCUGGAAGGAACGCAGGUAUUAUUUCUACAGAUUUUGCCUUGAUCAUGCCAACUUAAGUUUUAUUAGCUUCUUAUAUCAUUACUACAUGUGCAUUCACACAGAACUUUCAGAAACAUAAUAGUAGUAUUUCUAUUUCUAACUAUUUUAGUAGUUAAAACAACCGUCCGCAACUAAGCUCUGAACACAGGCUGACAACACUGUUCAGCAGACAGUAGACUCGCAGCUUCACAUACGCUACAACCACCUGAUGUCACUUUUUCAGUUUUAUAUUUCCACCCUGUUUGCAGACUGGGCAUUAGCUGCAUGCAGUAAGAUAUAUUAGUAGCUGCGUUUUUGCUACUGUAUCUUCUGCUAUUGGAAGAUCUUUUGAAAAGAUGCCCUAUUUUUAAUGUAAGGUCUAAAGCCAAUACUUGCUUCUGCAAAGGAAGACAAAUCAGCUUGUUUUGUGAAAAUGUACAUUAAAAAGAAAUUUCCUCUUGCAUAUCUCAAUUCUCAACAUACACCAUGGAAAUUAUGGAAAACAGAAAUAGUACAUCUUGCCACUCAAAUUAAGCUACAUCCCUUGUAAUACUCAUAGGUUUUGGAUAUGCGCAUUUGGAGAACAACUACAAGUUCAUAUACACAAAGCACACAGAUUGCUUAUAAUCUGAUUAGAACCCAAUAAAUUCGAUUGGAAAAGCAGCCAUAGAUACAUUAGGAAUUUUCUCAAAAUGUACAUAAAAAGACACUAUAAAACUCAAAUCACAAUGCACGUCAAGAACUCUGCUUUGUAGGCCAGAAGUACGAGAAGUCUGCUACCUCAAAUUCCAAUCUGUAGUUGGCAUGUUGUAAAGUGUCAAUACAAAUGCAUCAGGACCAAAGAGAACUGGAUUGUUUUAAACUCUGUGGAAAAGGCCCUUCUGCAUGAAGCCCAUGUUCUACAUGUUUGCCAAGUGUCCCGCUACAGGUUAACAAAUGCCACAACAAUUCAAGUUGAAGUUUCCAGUAUGCCUUAUUUCCAGAUCAGAACAAAGAAGCAGGACAACCAGCCAACUAACACCCACUACUUCCCUUCAAAUAACGACUGAGGAGGGUUUAGUCCCUCCUGGGAGGGAAAUCCCUUGAACCAUUCACUGGUUGAACCUUCCUUUUCACUCCUCAUCACCACUCCUUUUAAACCAGCCCGAUGGGAAGGUAGUCCCUGUGCUACCCUCUCCAUCCAUCCCCAAGUGCCUCACCAAGCACAGCCAGCUGCUCUUCUGGGUCCUUACAGAGCCCAGAUGCACACUUACAUAGGCUUACACAGGACAGCAGCCUGAUCUCCACUGCUGCCUUGAGAGGAGGGAAAGCUGCACAGCACUACUGGAUGAAGCCCAGUCCUUAAUUUCUAGGAUUAACCUAUGCAAUAUAUACAACCAACAUUCUUUUCAUAUCACAGAGGAUGCAGUGCUCAUGGUAUCUUCUACUCCUGUUGUUAGCAAAUUCAGCAACUACUUCACAUAGGUGUCUUGUAUUGUGAUGCAUCUCACACUGACUCCAUCAAAGAGCACGUGCUAUGCUCUUUGUGCUUGACCACAUAGCACCAAGUCAGGACACCUAGUGCAGUUCCCUAAGGCAAACACUGUUGUACCAAGAACUCAAUUUUUUUUCUUGAAGCUUUUUCCAGCAACAUAUCAGUGGUUUGAUUCUUUUGUGUUAUUUCUGGCACCAUUAAGAGUGUAACAGACUUUUACACAAGAAGUGUCAUAGUGCCACCUACUGAACACUAUGAGUCACCCUGAAAAUAAAGAGAAAUUUUUGUUGAUUGACACCUGAAAGCACAAUGCUAAAAAUCCUAAAACUCCAAAGUAUAUAAAUUUUGUAGACCAGUUUAAUUCAAUGUGUACUAUUUAAAACACCUAUUUGGGUGACUAAUUUUUUCCAAGUUAGAAUAAAAUUCUUUGGGGAAUAUAUAGAUUUCUUUAAACCCCCUCUAAACAGAUGCACUGGAAAGCUUAUAAAGAGCUCCUUGAACUGAGCAUUUAUUUUGAAAGUAAAUUAUACUUGACACUGGAAAAACAGUUUAUAGCACUAGCCAAAGUUUCCAUGUCAAGGUUUAAAAGAAAAACUUGGCAGUCCAACUCCGUAGAAUUUACAUCUAAAUAAGUAUGCACACCACAGCAACUUGUAAAAACAUGGUCACAAAAGGCCCUUCUCAGUUCUAGAAAUACUCUAAAUCUUUGAAGGAACUCUAAAUUCCCUCUGAAAACACUGUUCAGAAACAGCAAAAUUAUUGAGCCUGUAGCAUAUUAGAAGUGUUAAAAAUGAUGCAUUGGGAUAUUGACAAAACAUUUAAACUAAGCUUCUUACUUUAUACUGGUUUGUGAUCUAAUUCAAACCAGUAUCUUCCAGUGUACCUGUAGGACCACAUGGGAAACCAGAGACAAGAGAGGCUGCAAUACAACAGACAUGUUACAAGUAUGUAGGUAAAUUACUUCAUAUGCAAUUUAAAAACACCAAAAGCUGACUGAAAGCAGUCACUAGACAGCUUUGCAUACACAAAAACAGCAAUGGCAAAGCAGUCUAGACUUAGAGGGGCUGGUCCUGCUGCCCUUACUCAUCCUGGCAGCUUAUUACUUAUUUGAAAAGGAUUGGGUUCAACCCUACAGGAGACAACAAAGCAGUCUGUAUUCAGACUCUGGCCUCUGUGACUCAGCUUGUGAGUGUGCUGCAAAAAUCAUAAAAAGCAGUGAAAUGACCCAGAUACUCAGAAACCAAUUACAGACCAUCUGCAAUGGAUAUGCUGACUCCAUUAAAAAUAUUUGAUUCCCUAAAGGCAGGCCAACAGGAAUCUUAAGCAAAUAAGGAGCAUUUAUACAGAAAAAACUACCUUAGAAAAACACAGUGAUAAAGAACUGAAAUUACAAUCAGACAAGAAAUCAAUCAAUUACUCUGACUUUCCACACUGUUUAAAAAUGAUAGGAUAACCAAAUGAUUUUAACCUUCUGAAAACGUUAGAAUCUUAGAACGACAAAAAAUGCUUAGUUGCUUGUUUAAAAAAAAAAAGGUAUUUGGACCUGUGUCCCUGCUUGUAUUUUCCACUCAAAUUAACUCGAGAGCAAAACCUGAAAAGCAACAAAGAACAUACAGAACAGAGCACAUUUACCAAAGUAAAAAAAUCUUUAAGGUUCAAAACCCGUGAAAUUACUGUAGACACAAAUGAAUAAUGAGAAUGAGCAAUAAUUGCAUGAACUCAAAAUUUUGAGCUUUUGUGUGUUAUAAAUUAAAAGUAAUGCAGACUGCUACUUCACAUUUUAACCAACAGUAAGAAAGAAGGAGUGAAAUCAUGUUGCACAAAUCAAAGUUAGCAUAUACGUAUUCUUUUGAAAAUAGCUUAAAAUUACUACAACAACAUCGUUGCCAAAAUAAAGCAGUUUUACAUCCUGCUGAAAUUCAGUGCUUGUUGUACCACUCAGCCAUACAGCAGCACAUCAAAAGGCUUGAUUAUACUACUAGAAAAAACAGCCCUGUGGACACUGCUUACAUUUUCUAAGUAUUUAAUUUCCAAUUUUUUACCUUUACUGAGGAGGCUGCAUAGAGCAUAUCUUCAAGACUGAAAUGGCAACACUGGUUAAGGUAUUCCUGACAAAACUCUUGAAUCAACUGUAGGUUAUACAGGCUGUCAGCCAAAGACAUUGUCUCUUUCAAACAAAUAUCUACAAAAGAGGAAAAGAAGUGAAGGUUAGAUAUAGUUCCUGAUCUGCAGUGAGUGCUUCUGUUCCUGCUUGGUUUCUGGAGCAUUUCUGGAUAAAUCCAAACUUGAUUUUUUCUUUCCUGCAUAAGGAGAUUUAUUUUUCUAUUUCAGAACUUUAAGAAAUGACAGUACUAUAUUAUAUCUUAAUACAACUUUCUAUCUUUAGAUAUUUUUCUAAAUUUUUUUUUUUUAACUGUUGACAAGUUUAUUUUUUCUUGCUUUGAUUUCUAUGAAACUUAUUCUUAAAAUACUGCUAUUUUCAUGUAAUAAAACCCCAAUAUUUAAUCACUAAAACACUUUUUAAUAGAUUUUCUAUACAGGAAUGCAUGCUUUUUCACAAACCUCUCUUUGCAUAUAGAGUACAUUUUAAUGCCAUUAACUCUGGAUUUUCCCACAAAGGCAGCAUCAGUUUAGUCUUAUAUAUUUGCUAUUGUGGAUUUUGAUGCUUGAUGCAAAUCUUUAUGAAGAUCAGAAGCCCCUGAUUCAUGAAUUACCACCCUUAUGUUUCAAGGUGCUACGUCCCAACAAAGCACUGAUAGCAGUGCAUAGAAUGGUGCAGUUACACAGAACACAGCAGCUCAUGCCCAGCUGACAGCCUGGUUCUCUUUUUAUGAUGGUUACUUGGAAGAUGAAAGAGCCAUUGUAAAAAGCAAAUCCAAAGAAAAUAAUAUAAAGUAACUACACUUCCAGAGUAUUUGUUCUUCGUUCCCCCCGCCCAAAAGCAAGAGUGGAAAACAGAGCUUGAGGUAACAGUUUGAGUGUGUAGGCUUCAAUUUGCCUAUGGAUAAAGAAUCGACUCGGAUGCUAGCAGGAUAAGGGACUCAAAAAUAUUCCAUCACCCCCAAUCAAUCCCCUGUAUAAUAAUGAUGUAAAAAAUGAUGACCCAAAUGAGAUUAAGUUUAGUAAUGCAAAGUUUCAAACUGAUGCAAUUAACCUAAUAGAAUUCUAACGUCAUUUAGUACCUAAAAUUGAUACAGAGAAGGAAGGUAUCAUUGUGUAUUAACUGAUGUAAAGGUUUGUGAGCUUUCAGCAUCACACAACUAUGAAGCAAGCAAAUGAUGCUAGAAUGCAGCAGCAAACGUGUUUCUAGUAGUGACAGGGAAGCCUUGGUACGAGGCAGUAAAGAGAUGUCAGUCUGUAUUUCUGUGUGCAAUUAUGACCAUCCACAUUCAAGAAACAUGAACCAAAAGUAGACUAGUUGCAGAAAAAAUAUUGAAGAUAAUAACAAGAAUGGAAAUCCACUUCAUAAGGUGAGAGUGAAAAGGCUGGAUUUGGUAGCCUGAGCAAAACAGCAGAAAGAAAACAUAUCAGAGCAGAAGACAUCAGAUUAGAGGAAGCUAUUCAAGUUGCGGGCACUGCUGGAGAACAACAAAUGCACGUAGACAGGCUGCAAGCAUAUUUCAGCAGGAAACAGGACUAAGACUUAAAAUUAUGAAAGAAGUGGAGCUCUGCAACAGUCUGAACAGAAGUACAGAUUUUAAAAAGCUAGACAGUUUUAAGAUAGAACAUGAUAAGCCAUGAAAGGAAUUGGAUAAUUUUAAGCAAUAGCCAAUCUUUCAUCUCACUGACACAGUCUUGUAUUCCUAGAAGGAAACCUAGAUUUGACAGUUAAAUUAAGCCUUAAUGAGAAGGAAGCAUUUAUUUUAGAGCUGUGUUGUCGGGAUUCAUACUUUUUCUCCCUGUUAUUAGUGCAUUUUUAAGCACUUCUGCACAUGCAUCUUUGUUAUCUGCCUUCCUCAGUUCCAGUAGAGGAUAAAAUGUUAGUGAAGUUCAACAUGUAUCAAAUGUAGUAUUAUUUAAUGGCAGAAAAGACUGGAACAGUCUCUUACAGUGUUUCUACUUGCCUACACUAUCUUUGAAUUUAUUUCUGAGACAGUGGCACACAUUUUUAUAUCUUUAGGGGAAGACAGCUAAUGAACAUUGAAGUUCAAAGAUGACAAAUGUCUUGUUGUAUUUCAGUGUGCUGAAAGACAGAUGCUGAAGGAAUCUGUUGUUAAGUAUAUAUGCCAUCCUGAAAUAGUAUACAACAUCCUUUGGAAAGUCUACAUUACAGUCAUGCUAAAAACAGUAAGAAGGAACGAGAUGUUACCCACUUUAAAACACAACUCAAAUACUAAUUUUUCUCAAAUCGUAUACAAGUGUAUAUACCUGGCUGCAACAUUUUAUAUACACUGAAAGUGGAAUUUUUGAAAAUUCACGAGCUAAAGAAGAAGGAUGACUGUAUGCAUCUUAAUGUCUUUCAUCUUCAAAGCCUACUGGGCUGCAAUCUUCCUAUAAAGUGGUUGUGAAUAAGAAUUCCAUAUUCCAGUACCUUUAUAUCCUUGUUCAUAUUCCUGGAUUUCUUAGGAUGAGUGUAUACACAAGUGUUCCCACGACAUCAAAAGGUAUCACGGACAGAACACAGGCAGAAAAUGAUGGGUGUUAGCUGCCAAGGCAUUUUACAGCUGCAAGACACUCUCAAUUGCCAAGCGGAAGAUAUGACUUGAACCAGGCCACAGUGCAAAGAUAAAGUUGCUCAUCAUCACCAAAAUUGCUAUGAUAGGACAGCAUGACACUAAUAUGUUCUACGGCGUAUGCUCUUGUUUAUAAUGGUUUAACAAUCAGAGAAAAGCCCUUGAGCAUAAAACAAUGAUCUGCCAUACAGAGCAGCUAUACAGUUUGUCUACUUUUCUGGGCAAGACAGAACUGACCCUUCCGCACUUUCUAUCUGUAACUGCUCAGACACACAAGAAAGCAGUUAAGCAGCUUCAAGAAUCAGAGUUUUCCAGGUAGUUGCAAAUUUUGUGGCAUGACAACAGAAGCAUUGCCACAGUCAUAUCUGCAAUAACAUCCUGUCACACACUUGUAUCAGUGUGACAGCAUAAGAGUAAAUACAGUGUGGAAGGACACCUUGGUUCUUGUUAAGUUCAGAAGUAAAUAGGUAAAAAGUUAAUACCAAAUCCAUCACAGUCACACACAGGCUAUGCCUCUGACACAUCUUAUUCAGCACCUUCCUUUACAUAUAUAUAUUUAUUAUAUAUACAUACACACAUACAUUUCAACUGAGACAUGUUAGACAUACCCUCGAGUUUAACGAUAUCUGGACAGUAGAAGUGGAUGAGGGCUGCUAAAGCACAACCAUCUGUACCAUCUUUCAGCAAAUUUUCCACCAAUGGAAUGCAAGGCAGCUGCUUGAGCAAUGUUUGUUCCUUCCUGUAACGGGCCUACAAUAUAGAAUGAACGGAUUAAGAGACACAAAGGCGCUGAAACAUAUGAAUAAACAGAUUUGUACUGCAGGUUUUACACUCAGUGAAAAAGCAGCAUUCAAUAAAUAACUCAAUAUUCUCAGAUUUCCUGUAACUAUUCUCUUUAUGCUUGGUUUUGAUUGCCAGAAAUAAUAGUUAAGAGGAAAGGAGCCUAUAUGACAAUAUCUGCUUCUAAACUACCACAUUUUGAUGAUCUCUGUGCAGCUGAAUUAAAUAUCAUACAACUUAUUUAACUUACAGCACUCAUUUCUAUUCAACCAGAAAGGGUCUGCAUGUAAACAAAAGAUAGGCUCCAAUCUGCUGUGAAGACCAAAGCUUCAUUUUACCAGCAAUGCCAAUGCCAGUGAAGUUAACGCACAAGAAGCUUUCCCAAAAUCUCCAUAACAUAACUGACAUAACAGCAAGUUUAGAAACAAGGACAUCUGCAUCAGCUACAUUUCCUUACUAGCAUAUUUCACUUAAAGCAGCUCAAAACAAAGCAGCAGCAUUAACUGUCAAGUGUUAAGGCCAGGCUGCAGCCCAGUUACAAAAAGGAAAUGUUCUGAAAAACAACUUUGUUUAGAAUGCUAAAAAACAUUUACCUGCAAUUAAUACAUUUUUAUGGUUUUCUUUUUUGGGCAGGAUGAGGGGGAAGGGGAGAUAGCUAGCUUAACAUGUUAUUUAUGACUUGAAUUUCUUUUCAUUAUUUCUUGAGAAGGAAGGAUUUCAUUUAAAAUUUACUACACUUCAUUUUUAAAGCAGUAUCAAAUGAUUACUUUCCCAUUCGUGCCACAGAACUAAUUGUAAUGCCAAGAGUGCUUUGAAGUAAAUUUAAGUAAUGAAAAAGUCAAUUUCAUUCAAAUACACACAUGAAGCUGGAAACCAGUCCUGCAGGAAUUUGGUGAAGCUGUUGAGGAUGUCAUUCCAGUGAAGAGAAGGCUCUGAGAGACCUCAACGAAGACAUUCAGUAUUUAAAGGGAGCUUAUAAAUAAAAUGGAGACCAACGUUUUACAUGGGCUGAUAGUUAGAAGACAAGGGGAAUGGCUUUCAACUAAAAGAGGAUCAAACCACAGCAGUUGGAUACUUGGAAGAAAUUCUUCAGUGGCAAGGAGCUGGAACAAACUGCCUAGAGACAUUGUGGAUGCCCCAUGCCUGGAAGCAUUCAAGGCCAGGUUAGGCAUUGGGCAGCCUGAUCUGGUGGGUGGCAACCUUGCCCAUGGCAGGCUGCUGGAAUUAGAUCACAUUUAAGGUCCCUUUAAACCCAAGCCAUUCUAGGAGUCUAACAAAGCUGAAGCUGCAAGUUCCUGCAAUUGAGUGGGCAGGGCUGGAGCCUUUAUGGGUGGGGUGGGAACUGUUUAAGCCAGCUUUGUUGGUUAAAACAAAAAAAGAAAAGCCUGUACAAGCACAGACUAACCCCAAAGGCUGUACUUACUGCCACUACAUUUCUGCUAAGGAUGACAGGGGAUUAUCUGUAGUGCACGUUAGUGUCUUCUAACAGGCCCAAGAAGCACAAAUCUAGUCUAGUAAUAGUAGACGUCUGUUCUAGGGAAAUUAAGGGCUUGCAUUAAGCCGAGAAAACUUGUAAUUUAACAAAUUAAUAUUAAUAAUUGGUUAAUUAAUAAAUAGUAGCCAAUAAAUAGUGGAGAAUUUAUCUUCAUUUCAUAUUUGAAACACUGGUAUUUGCAUCAAGUAUUUUGCAUGCCAUACUAAAUAUUCACUAACAUGGAAUAAAUUACUAACAGUUUUUCCUCAUGUUAAACAUAAGAAAACAGGCCAAUUUGCUUACACUGCAAGUUCCUUUUUCCAAUCUCAGGCAAUACUAUAAAAAAAGCUAUGACAAAAAUCCUUUACAUUUGAAAUUAGGUCCCUCCACUUCCCCCCCUUGGCCCAAAUGACUAAAACUAAGUCAGUUAAAUUUUAUGGUUUAAUUAUUGUAUAACAUUAGAAGAUACAGGAUAUAUAGAACUCUAACAUUAUGGUCUGAAUAGUUCUGUAAUGUUUUAUAUAUUCUUUUAAGUAUCAUCUUUCUAAUGGAGUACUGAAAAACAUUUUAAAUUAAUAAUGCAAUGGUCUUGCAUAGUAAAUUCUGUGAAAGUCUGCUGUCACUCCAAGGAUGCCUCACAGUAGCCCUAUGAGCAGUGCCUGGAAACUGUGUCAAAUCAUUAAAGUGAACCUAGAAAGAGGACUUAAUUCACUAUAGAGUACGCCAAGCACAUCAUUUCAGGAAAGUAAACAAAUAUAACCUGACAUGCUAGGUUCAUUAAGGUCUAACAGGCACAGUGUUUCAAUUUAGCAGAAAAGAUAAAAGAAAUUAUAUUGAAAAAACAAAAGACACUGGUAAUUGCACUCCAUUUCUAAUUAACUUCCAUUUGAAAAAACCCUUCUAUUCCACUGCAGUCUUUGCUAAUAAAUUUGAAUGCAAUAAUGCAGGAGACAAACAAACCUCUACAGAUAUUAUAAUGGUGUAGUGCUCAUUUAAAUGUAAGUGCUAAUACAGAUAUUUUGUUUCUGAGAUCCUACAGAAACCAGUGUGAAUUGGUGUCCUUGAGCUUACUGCACUUGGACAAACCUCAGCAUAGUUGAGACAAUGGCAAAAGAACAAAGUUAGCUAAAAACUAACUAAAAACCCAUCAGCUACUCUGCCCGAAGUGCCUGUGUGUACUCUGAGCCAAUCAUUAAUAAUAAACACUGAUGCCUUUACCUUUGGUGAUGUGCUACAAAUUCCCUUCUCAGAGUAACUUUCCAGCUGCCUACAUGCUGACGCCUAUCCCACUACUGAACAUCUGCACUAUGUGGAGAGAUGAGAAAAGUGGUUGAACUACCAGCACAUUUGAGCCACUGCUUUCCUACUGUAUCAUCAGUAGCACCAGGGUUUCAAUUGUAUCUCUACUCAAGUAACAGGUUCAAAGUAAAUAGCUCUAGAGCAAGUCGUUUCUGGACAACUGGCAGGUGAACUUAGAUUUCAAUUUUUCAUCAAGUUAGUUUACUAAACUAACACUGUAGACAAAAACAGAAUAACAUUCUGAAACUACUGCGAAGUAGCCACUUGUUUGUAUCAAUAGAACAACAGUAUCAAUGAACAUGUGCUUCAUUUUCUGUAAAGCAAUGAAAGGCUUUUUAUUUUUCCCCCAUUAUUCCCUCCAUUUAAUUCCAAAACUAAAUUAAUGGAUUAUAAUGUGAAGAGCAGAAUCUUUAUGUCUAAAUGUCACAAUUGUAAUGGAGAGCAUUACAGAGAAAUUGCUGGUAGGGCACAACUUGCUAACAACUUAGAUACUCAUUAGUCUACUGAAAAAUGCACUUGAACCUUUUCUAUUUAUUUUUUAAUCCCAACAUCAGAAGCACCAUGUAAUCUCUGCUGCUCCCUACAUGCAAUUGCCUUGUUAUUUUUUAAUUCUUGCAAAGUAUGAGCAAUAUUUUACUACUUACAAUAACAAAGACCUGAGGAACUGCUCAAUCAGUUAUUUGAUAGUCCUCAGAUUGAAGUCCUAAGGAUUAGUUCCCUGGAAUUCAGACCAGAAAUACGCAAUUCUGCACGUACCUAAACAGCUGACUAGCUUAUUCCAAAGCCAAACUGCAUGUGUCUGCCCAUGGAAAGGUGUUAUCCAUAUUGCAAAAUCUGUUGUAGAAUUAAUAAUAGGAGUGCGUUGCAGGGGCAAGUUAUUGAGUUAUUGCAUCAUAAUGAUAACCCCAUAGAGAGACAACAAAGGGAAAACAAAGCUGAAUAUUAUUUCAGACCCAAACAGUCACUUUCUAUUGCUCUUAAUGAAAUUAUGGACUCACUAUCAAUAGAUUGUUUUUUAUUACUUUCUCGUGGGAAGAGAACUACCUGAAAUUAGUAAAAAAAAUUAAGCAGUUCUAGACAAAUGGUGAAAUGAUUGCAUAUUAAAAUGAAUCAGAAAGUUUCAGUUCCUAUAUACAAUCAACAAUCAAAAAUUAUUUCUGCUUUUUUUUUUUUAAAGUCAGGAUCAGACAGCAACUGUUGACUGGAAUUCUUUGAAAAAGUAUUUUGAACAAAGUUAACAACUGGUAGUAUCACCCUAUGCAAAGCAAUAGUAAAUCUCACCCAGCAUCACAUCUUGAACUUAUCUGGCACAGAUUACCUCGCAAAGCAGGGUGUUUGGGGGUUAUUUUGUUUCUUUAUCUUUAUUAUGAAAACCUUUUCAGAGUAAUCUCCUAUCAAAUUAUCAAGAGAUAAAUGAGAUGAAUAAUUAGACCAGCAUGACAUGGACAAAGCCAUUCCCAAAAUAAGCUAGAUGAUCAAAGUGAAGCAGUUGGGCAAACUUACAGGAACCAGUUUCCAAUACCAUUUGGUAGGAGACUUCAGAGGAAGCAGUAGGGAAAAAAAUAAAAGCAGAAAGCAAAGAAAAAAAAGGAACAAUUUAUCAGAUUUCACCAUUUUUGCAAAGCGAUUUUCUUCAACAUUCUCAUUUUGUGUAACAGUAAAUUAUAAUUUAAUUGUAAACAUCAGAGCAGUAUAGUCACUGUGUAUUGAACUCAUUAGCACAAAUAAUACCACAGAAAUAUGCAUCUUCAGUCUUAAUAGAUUAACGUUACCAUUUUCCCACAUAAGCAGAUAAGACUGUCGUAUCAAUGCAGUUCUGUUAACUGCUUUCGCACACAUAAUUGCACCCUGAAUAUGCAAUCUGACUAAAGAAUUCAUUUGAGACUUGAAGUUAUGAUUUCACAAGUAUCAAAAUGAACUCCAGCAGCAUAUAUGGAGAAGCAGGGAAGCUAAAGCAAUGAAAAAAGGUAUAAACACACUGUAGUACAUUACAACCAAUUGCACUGAAGUCUGCAUUAGUCACCUCAAAGCCAAACAAGUUUAUAACGCUCAGAAUAUUUCUGAACAGUCAUAUAGCAGUUUUCAGAACAACAAGAGGUGCAAGCAGUUAUAUUUUUGCAAUGACAAAUCACAUAAGCAUCAGCUGCAUGAUGUGCAAUGACCUGAAACAUAGAAGUAGGUUCGAUUACUCACAGAGAAAUGAUCAGAACUGGUGUAUACAAUUCUAAACUGACACAUUAUCAAGAUCACAAAUUUUACCUAAAAACUUAAGGUGGAACAUACUGAAGUUGGUGGGUUUUUCUGUACUUAAACAGAUGAAGAGAAGCUGAGAUCUCUUGGAACAACACAACGGGAAUUCAAUGGCUCUUGAACUUGCACUUCGUAUGAACCAGAACAUUAUUAUGGAAACCACUAACAAUUUAUUGGUCACGUAAAAAAACCUGACAAGCAUAUUGUUCAACUGAAGCCUGAAAACCAAAGCUACUACAAAACUUCAAAUCCUAAUUCUGAAAGAUGCAGAGACUCUACCAGAAACAGAUGAGAUUACCACAAAGCACCGGCAGGUCAAGAUCCACAGGGGACUACCUGGAGCUAAAAAGCAUACAUACUCCUUCCUCUCUUAUCUUCUACAGGAAGCUAGCAGCAGAAGAAAGUGAAGGAAAACAAAAGCAAUCUCAUAAUCUGUUAAUACUAUUUGCAACUAUUCAGAAAUAGAUAAGUCUAUCUUACCAGUUGUAUUUAUUAAUAUGAUACUUCACUUUUCUAGCAAUACAGAGAUUUACUAUUUAUCAUGGAAAAGCUCACAACAGAUUUCCAACAAGAAUAGGCAUUAUGAUCAAUGUCUUUCUUACAUUUCUUUCUUACAUCAGUACCUAACUGAUACGUUUAAGAUUUUACCACACUAGAGAUUUGAAAAAAAUUAAAGGGUUCACUCAUUAACUUUGUUUCAAUUUCCCAGUAUUGAACUUCGGUGCUUCUUGGACAGAAAUUAAGAAAAGCUCAUCCUAAUAACCAGAACAACCUAUUCUUCAUGUGGUAGUUUGGCCACCUCUCUAAUUCAGCAGAUGAGACAUUCUUAAUUAAAUUUGGGUUGGGUUCAAAACGCAAUCACAGCUUAAAAAUGCUAAAAAAUUUCUGAAGGAGUUGGGCCAGAGCAGAAGGAAGACUGCAAAAUUAGUUAGAUUUUUAGGAUGGAAUAAUCACUGUCACAACUUCUUACCAUGUGGGUAAUAUGACAAACCUAAAUUAAAAAAAAAAACAGACUCAGGCUGAGAAUGCCAUGCUGCAGUAAACACGUAGAACUAUCAUUUAGUUUUUCCAGGAAACUGCUUAAAUGUGUAAUAAUCUUACUUUAGUUUACACAAAGGCAGUGAUCAAACCCAUCCAUUCCCUUUUCCACUUAGUAAAGUCUACUGAUGGUAAUAACUUAACCCAGCAGAGAUGGAAUGAAAAAAUAAGGGAAAACUGCACUAUUAAAUACUCAGACCAGAAAUUAUACACAUAUUUCAGCAAUAGCCAAACCCUGUACAAAAAUGUAGUCAGUUUUUUUCACAGCUUUGCUGAGGUAUGUGAGGGACAGGCAAUGCCGUAAAGUAACAGGACAUGCCACCCAUUUCAUACUACAACAUGAAGAAUGCAUGAGCCGAUGGAAUAUGGAGCCAAAUACUCAGAUGCUGUAGUCUGAAGAUAAAUCCUAGCAAAUGCUUGACAGGAGUCUCUUCAUAGUUUAGCUGAAAAUAUGAACAACUGAUUUAUAAAAGAUUUUCGCUGUCGUUCUCUGUGGAAAGUUUGCAUUCAGUACGAUUUGCAGUUCCGAAACACCAGAUUUAGACAUGUGUUUAAUAUGUUUUCUAAAUCUCAGAUAUUUAUAUGUGUGCAAGCAUCAUUAACUUGAGCAAAAACAUUUGCCAAGUACAGUUACAUUAAAAAAACAAAACAGUUAAUCAUCAGUUGAACGGACCCAUGUUUCUCAAAGAAAACCUACAAUAAUGAGUUGAAAACAUUACAAUCUUCCUGCAUUUAAAAAAAAGAUUUAAAUUCCUUAAAUACUUACAACUAGAAGUGACUGAAUGCUCCAGAUCCUAGACUUACUUUCUAAAAGCAGAUUGCACUUGCCAUUGCAGUCACUGGAAUCUUAUUGUACAAAUGGCAUUUGAAAAAAAACAAAGAAACAGAAAAACAUAACCUGCAAUAAACUCCUGCUAGCAGAAGAGACAUCCAGGGGUCAACUGGAGCCUGAGGUUUUACCCACAUUAAGUUUUCAAGCUAAUAGGUAAUGCUAUACUAAUAUAUAUUCAUAGCAUAGAGUACCUGACAAUGUAAUUUAUGCUGCUGAGUCGCACACCAAGGCAAAUAACCUAACAUGCACCUGGGACAACACUACCUAAAAUUCUAUAUAUUCAUAAAAUACAGAAAGAAACAAUUUUUUCCAUUAUAUGUCAACCAUGCAACAAUGGCUAUUUUGCAAGUGCAUUUGCAAUGUGGCCAACAGAAUAGGCUCUGACUGUGUAAGAGAUUCGUAAUUCAUACAGAAAACACCACAAACGCUCACACUAACUUUAGGCAAUUUUUUCAGUCCACUGGGUUUAUUUAUGGGAUAUGGUUAUGGACCACGCAGUAUACUUCAGCAGUCAAUUCAACAACAAUGAUGUAAAUACAAAUUUUAUCUUCACAUUUCUAGCAAAACACAAAUUGUAAUUUAAGUGAGAAUAAACAUUACUGAUGAUUUUUGUUUUACCAAUACUGAUAAUUUUAUGUAAUUGCUCUGAUACGUGUGGGCUUCUCUCCCCCCCCCAUCACUGCUAUUAACCAUAUUAAGAUUAUAAUGCACUUGGAUUUCAAAAAUUAU